GAAAUGCGAUAAGUAAUGUGAAUUGCAGAAUUCCGUGAAUCAUCAAAUCUUUGAACGCACAUUGCGCUCAGUGGUAUCCCGCUGAGCAUGUCUGUUUGAGAAUCAGUUUAAUUCUCACUUUGGGUUAGCCUAAAAGUGGACUUGGGACUACUUCUCUUUGGGGAGAGACCUUAAACUGAUUUGUCGCCUUGAUUAUUCCGAACCCAACUGGAAGGCAUGAUUAGGCUGAAAGGCACUAGUGCUGAUAACAGAAGGGGAAAGGGUAAUCGCUUGGUGCAAAAUCUAAUCACAAGGAAGAAAUUCCUUAAGACUUGAUCUCAAAUCAGACAAGACUACCCGCUGAACUUAA
rnacentral:misc_RNA from 1 species